GGCGCGGUGGCCGAGCGGUUAGGCAGGACUCUUCGCAAGGGUUCACACGCCGGUUCGAAUCCGGCCCGCGCCU
rnacentral:tRNA from 1 species